rnacentral:tRNA from 1 species
UCCCUCGAGCCGGAUUUGAACCACGACCUAAGGAUCACCGUUGUAACAUUUACAGUCCUCCACUCUGCCAACUGAGCUAUAGAGGG